UGCCAGCAGCCGCGGUAAUACGGAGGGUGCAAGCGUUAUCCGGAUUCAUUGGGUUUAAAGGGUCCGCAGGCGGGAAAAUAAGUCAGUGGUGAAAGCCUACAGCUCAACUGUAGAACUGCCAUUGAUACUGUUUUUCUUGAAUAUAGAUGAAGUGGGCGGAAUGUAUCAUGUAGCGGUGAAAUGCGUAGAUAUGAUACAGAACACCGAUUGCGAAGGCAGCUCACUAAACUAUUACUGACGCUGAGGGACGAAAGCGUGGGGAGCGAACAGGAUUCGAUA
rnacentral:rRNA from 1 species